UGGGGAAUUUUGGACAAUGGGGGAAACCCUGAUCCAGCCAUCCCGCGUGUGCGAUGAAGGCCUUCGGGUUGUAAAGCACUUUUGGCAGGAAAGAAACGUCAUGGGUUAAUACCCCGUGAAACUGACGGUACCUGCAGAAUAAGCACCGGCUAACUACGUGCCAGCAGCGGCGGUAAUACGUAGGGUGCAAGCGUUAAUCGGAAUUACUGGGCGUAAAGCGUGCGCAGGCGGUUCGGAAAGAAAGAUGUGAAAUCCCAGAGCUCAACUUUGGAACUGCAUUUUUAACUACCGGGCUAGAGUGUGUCAGAGGGAGGUGGAAUUCCGCGUGUAGCAGUGAAAUGCGUAGAUAUGCGGAGGAACACCGAUGGCGAAGGCAGCCUCCUGGGAUAACACUGACGCUCAUGCACGAAAGCGUGGGGAGCAAACAGG
rnacentral:rRNA from 1 species